rnacentral:rRNA from 1 species
UCCAGACUCCUACGGGAGGCAGCAGUGGGGGAUAUUGCACAAUGGGGGAAACCCUGAUGCAGCGACGCCGCGUGAGGGAAGACGGUUUUCGGAUUGUAAACCUCUGUCUUUGGGGACGAAAUGAGACGGUACCCAAGGAGGAAGCUCCGGCUAACUACGUGCCAGCAGCCGCGGUAAUACGUAGGGGGCGAGCGUUAUCCGGAUUUACUGGGUGUAAAGGGAGCGUGGACGGUUCUGCAAGUCUGAAGUGAAAGCCCGUGGCUUAACCGCGGAACGGCUUUGGAAACUGUGGAACUGGAGUGCUGGAGAGGCAAGCGGAAUUCCUAGUGUAGCGGUGAAAUGCGUAGAUAUUAGGAGGAACACCAGUGGCGAAGGCGGCUUGCUGGACAGUAACUGACGUUGAGGCUCGAAAGCGUGGGGAGCAAACAGGAUUAGAUACCCCGGUAA